CGCGACCCCAGGUCAGGCGGGACUACCCGCUGAGUUUAAGCAUAUCAAUAAGGCGGAGGAAA
rnacentral:rRNA from 1 species